rnacentral:lncRNA from 1 species
AUGGGAAACAAAACGAGCAGCGAAGUCACUCAGAAAGGGAAGAAGAUGAUUAGAAGAGGAAAAGGAAGAGCAGCUCAGUCAGACUGGAAAAGAACCGGAAAGGAGGCAUGGAGCGAGGCGGCUCCUGAGGUCAGAAGCAAUCCACUGUCGUCUAAGUUCUUGCCAAGGGCAAAGCAACAGACUCAGCUGCCUGACCUUGAAAAUGGUCUUCAGCUGUCGUGCAAUUGUGCGCGAGUUCGCAGCGACUCCGCUGUCACCGCUCGUGUCCACCGGUUGGGGCGGACAUGCGGAGUUUCUGAACUGCAGUCGCAGCGCUCAGAGCAGCCUUUACUCUCCUCCUCUUUAGGGGGCUCAAGAUCGCCCACACUGUCGCCUGUCAGCUCGUUGUUUCCCCUCAAUCCACCCUUCGUCUCCCGUUUGUCUUGCUUUUCCUGCUGCUGGGGAUUCGGCGGGGAUUCGAUGGAGACGGCGGCGCUGGGACAGGGAUCUGCGUCCCUGGGGCAAGUCCGACACAGAAGGGGGAGGAGCGAGAGGGCUGAGGCUGCCAGGCGCGGAAAGGGAGAAACUGGGUUGGAAAGGAGAGGAUGCCAGGUGACAGGAACGGCCUGCAGGACGUUACGGGCAGUACACAGGCCCCCAGAGCAGGUAGGGGAGACGCGAGCAGACGGUUACCAGGGCAACCGUGCGGUCUCGCGAGACAGACACUGCGCCUGCGCACUGCAGCCCGAAGACACUUUCCCGAGCCUCUGCCUCCACCCCCGCUCCCGAGCUUCAGGGUUUCCAGACGUCCGGCGUCGCUCUGGGGCUCCCGGGCUUGGCGACGCCGUGCGCCGACCUUUUCCAUCCGGAGCGACCGUUAUAAUGCAGAAGGAGGAAAUGUUCUGAAGACAGGAGGCGUUAAGGUUGGCCUUGCUCUCCCUCCAGGGCACUUAACUGGUGUUCAGAAUGGCCGCAGCUCCGCGGGCACCAGCGAGGGGCUCUGUUCGGAAGACAAGACCUUUAACAGUAAAGACAUCGUUGAACAACCCGUAUACUCUCUGCUGGAGCCCUCUGGAGAGAGAGGAUAUGCUCUUCAUAUUACAGACACUCGAAGACAGAUUUCGGUCUGUUGGACUGCAGAAGAUCGAGGAUAAGAAGAGAAAGAAAAAGCAGCCUUUUUUAAAAAAACAAAGCAGAGACAAAUGUAGCAUAGAUGUUGAUAUCAAUGAGGAGACGGAGAAGCAGCCAGAAGGCGAGCACCAAGUGUCAGGGUGGACCCCUGUCCACGUCAGGAAGCAGCUGGCCAUCGGUGUUAAUGAGGUCACCAGAGCUCUGGAGAGGAGCGAGCUGCUCUUAGUCCUGGUGUGCAAGUCAGUGCAGCCUGCCAUCAUCACCUCCCACCUGAUUCAGUUAAGCGUGAGCAGAACCGUUCCUGCCUGCCAGGUUCCCCGGCUCAGUGAGAGGGUUGCCCCUGUCAUCGGCUUAAAAUGUGUCCUGGCUUUGGGUUUCAAAAAGAACACCACUGCCUUUGUGGAUGAGGUAGAAGCUAUAAUUCCCAGAGUGCCCAGAUUAAAUGUAGCGUGGCUUCAAGACAGCCUCAAAGCCUCCAGGGACAACUUAGAGCCUGAAUCUUUGGAAAGCCAAGACAAAGAGCUUUUGGAAACUUCCUUUGAAGACGUCUCUAAAUGUAAGAGAAAGCCCGUUGAAGGACAGCAGGCUGUGGUGUUACAACCGCUUAAGAUAAAGAAACUGAUUCCAAACCCCAAUAAGAUAAGGAAACCCCCCAAGAGUAAAAAAACGACUUCAAAGUAAUCCCAUUUAAACUUGACAUUUCUUACAGUUGUAAAAUGAGACCUUGUGAAAGAACCUCGAAACUAUUAAAAUGAGUUACUUUUACACAUAUUGUUGGGAUAUUGUUUGGUAAUGUUCUUUUCAGUUGUGUAAGACUUUUUGUACAGCACAGCUAUGCUGUAGUUUAAAAACACUAAGUACAAAAAUUACUCGGAAGUAUGAAUAUCAAACAGAAGUUGAUUGAAACAUGUCCAUGCUUGCAUUAAUUCACUUUUUAAAAGGCUGGUACGAUGCUUGUAAGCAAGAACAUCUGUAUCCUACAGCCCUUAACAUCUUUCUAUCAAACUUGGAAAAUGUGCCACACUACACAUGGUUCUGGUUAGUGGAGUGGAUGAAACCAGAUUGUGGAUGUAUUAUCAGUUUUAAAGGAAAGAUACUAAACGCCAAGCAAUAUAUUGUCUUCAGAAACAAUUCAUCCUUUUUACUUCCUGUCAAUGUUAGUUUCUCUGUAGGUAGGCAUAAGUAUGGGCUUGGGAGAACGGCUUGAUACUUAGAGAAAAAGCCGUAGAUAAAUAGAUAAGGUAUUUUGACUAGUUAGAAUUCAUCCCUUUACAUGGUUAAUUUAUUUCCUUGGAAAUUUAACGUGUAUAAGAUGGUAAUUAGGUGAAAUGUGGCGGGAAGAGAAGAAAAAACUGAGGAGCUUGGAUGCGCAGAGGUGAGUCUGCAAUGACUGGGGUGCUCCAUGUUAGGAAAUGGAGCAUAAUCAAUGCUCUGUGUUGCUGUGAAAGUGUCUGCUCUUGACAGUGUGUGUUUGGAAAAGUUACUUUCUGUAAUUUAGGGGGAAGGUUUUGGAUUGCCAGAGUUUAUUUUCAGCCUAUUUUCUGGUUGACUCAUAAAUUAUACCACUUCCCUUUCAUUUAAAUCUUAGUGAGUGCUUUCUUGGCAAAAAAAGAAGGGGUGAGAGGCUGCCUCAUGGAAUAGAGCAUUUCCAUUAUUGACAAAGGAUGCAGGACAUUCUAGUUUUUUUGAAUCUAUAAAACACUAUUGCGUUGAAAUUUAGUUCUAAUAGCUACUUUGUAAACAGUUUUACCAAUGGUCUAUUUUAAAAUUUCCAUUGGUAAUCUUAAAUUAUAAAGAGGCAAAUGUGCUAGUUAUUAAUAACUAUUUUAAAAUGACAGUAAAAGAAUAUGAAUUCCAUAACAAUCAGAAUUAUGUAAAUGGGUAAAGGAACAAUGUCACAUUUUCAAAAUGAGGUAAUCUUGUGGCAAAGUUUAUGACUGGCAAUUAUUUGAAAACCUACUUCAUAUAAGACUUUGUGCCAUAAAAAUGAGUGGAACAUAAUUCCCAACUACAACCUUGACUCCAGAUUAUGUUAAAAUCUCGUUUACUUACUGCUGGUGUCUCAAAAAAUGUUCCGGUGAAUUGGUACAGGUUUGCUUCUGAAGCCAUUCUCCUUCUGUGAAGAGAGAAGGGUCAUGCAACUGGACUUGACCCUCCCCUGUGAGAAGUCUUCCUUUGUGUCUUCAGCAAAGUAAACAGCCCUGUCCCAAUUACGCACCACUGUGGGGCCCACGCACACCCUCUAGUGGUGGUCUCAGGGAUGCCACAGCUGGGGGUUGGUUUCUGUGACAACGGCAAGCUGCAGAGUGGCUUACAGCUCCUUGGUGUAAACUGGUCAGAUUUUUUCUGUAAAGGGCAAGAUAGUAAGUAGGUCUUCAGGCCCUACAAUCUCCAUCGGGACAACUCAACUCUGCCUUUUAUAGCAUGAAGCAACCACAGGCAAUACACAAACAAAUGAGUGCAGCUGUGUUCGAAUACAACUUUAUUUAUGGAAGCUGAGAUUUGAAUUUUGUUUAAUUUUCACACAUCACAAAAUGUUCAUCUUUUGUUUUUUCUCCCCCCACCCAUUCAAAAAUGUAAAAACCAUCCUUAGCUGGUGGGCUGUACAAAAACAGGCAAUGGGCUGGAUUUGGCUUGUGGGCCAUAGUUUGCUAGCUCCUGCCUGGGAUAAGAUAUGGUUGAUUUCAUUUGACACUUGUAACAUGAAGGAAAGGCCAUCAUGUCGUCUGAAAUACUUCAGUUUUUCUGGACUGAACAGCUGAGGCCCUGGUACAGUAAAGGCAGGAAGAAGUAUCUACUCUGUGGAAUUUGAGUCAAGGCCAGCUGAUGUGGCCACAUCCAGCAUCUUUUUCCCCUUGGACUAUUGGCAAUAUAUACAUCUCUAUGUACACUGAGAAACUUAGUUUUUCAAAUUCUAGAUAAAAACAAUCAGUAACAAAAUUAUGAAUACUUAUUUACAAAUAAGACAUCUUCCAUUAGCAUGACAAGUUUCAUGAUAAAUUAAAGUCAGCAUAAAGGAAUAUGUGCAAUUUCGCAUAAGUAAUAAAAAACAUUCGAACUAUCA